rnacentral:rRNA from 1 species
GUGCCAGCAGCCGCGGUAAUACGGAGGGUGCGAGCGUUAAUCGGAAUUACUGGGCGUAAAGCGCAUCGCAGGUGGUGUGUUAAGUCAGAUGUGAAAGCCCGGGGCUCAACCUGCGGAAUAGCAUUUGAAACUGGCAGACUAGAGUACUGUAGAGGGGGGUAGAAUUUCAGGUGUAGCGGUGAAAUGCGUAGAUAUCUGAAGGAAUACCGGUGGCGAAGGCGGCCCCCUGGACAGAUACUGACACUCAGAUGCGAAAGCGUGGGGAGCAAACAGGAUUAGAUACCCUGGUAGUCC